AUGCUAUGGAUGCAAAAUGGUGGAAUAAGUAAAUCCCUCCAGUUUUCCUCAUUUCAUUUGCAGCCAUAUUCCCUUCCCUUUUGUCGUUUUUUUUUUUUCUCCCCCAUUCCCUUCAUUGUCACAUCAAACUCAUCUCCUCCUCCAUCCUUCCAACACACCUUGCCCUCAUCUCAUUUUGACAUCCCUUUUCCGGUUUCUUUUAGGGCUGCUACCAAUGGGAGAAAAACAAUUGGACGGGAUGGGGUCUCCCUCUUGGAUCCCACGGUCUCUGCAAACUGCUUACCUGCACAGCAGUUCUACCCUGCUGCAGUAAGCAGAAUUCGGGAUGGAGUAGCUGGUCCCUGUUCUACCACUCAGCAUCAUAAUGAGAUGCCAACAUUCUGCCAUGAGCUCCAGCCUCAGUCAGUGUUGCUGCAACCUUCUUAUCCACGUGCAGCACGGACUCGGUCCUGCUUUCAGCGAGCCGCACUUCCCCGGCCUGGUCGCCCUUCCCCAGUUAUUCCACAACAAAUGGCACAGUUACCAGCCCGGCAACUACUAUGCCGCGGAACUGCGAGGUGGCAGACGGUGCAACCAAAUGGCACUGUCCAGCAUCAUCCCAGUCGCCAACCGUAUGAUGGGCAAGUUCCUUUCCAUACUUCCCCUUCGCUUACCAAGGAUUGUCAUGACCUGCUGGUGUCUGGUGUACUCUGCCAAGGGAUGCCACCCUAUGCAUACACAGGUGUACCACAGUCCCAACGUGUUGCAGCUGGUGAAUACUGCCUCCUCAAUGGUCCACAGAUUGGAUCAACCCCAAAUGCUUCUUUUCAACUUCAUCAACAGACAAGUGGCAGUGCACAGCAUUUGCGUAACAACAGCUUGCCUCUGCAAUCUGUAGAUGGCUUGUCAAUGGGCUUGACAACCAAUGGACAACCCUGUAAUACCAGGAUUGGUGGCUUUCCACUACACUCUUGGCAAGAACAAGAUGGUCACCCAAUGGCAAGCCCUCAGUUUCUCCAGGAUGAGAGGACGCGAGAGAAGCAGGAUUAUUUGAAGUCAAAACGCCAAGGGCAGGGUAAGAAGACACACAGACCCCAAAGCGUAAAGAAUUCUGAGCAACCAGAUUAGGGUGGUCCUUAUUCCUCAACUUCGGAUUUUCUAAGCUCCAACCCCCGGGAUUCAUUGGAAUAGUCGAGAAAACUCUCCUGGGGGGGGGGGGGGGGGGGGGGGGGGGGGGGGGGGGGGGGGGGGGGGGGGGGGG
rnacentral:lncRNA from 1 species